rnacentral:rRNA from 1 species
UACGUAGGGUGCAAGCGUUGUCCGGAAUUAUUGGGCGUAAAGAGCUCGUAGGCGGUUUGUCGCGUCGGCUGUGAAAACUCGGGGCUCAACCCCGAGCCUGCAGUCGAUACGGGCAGACUAGAGUGCUGUAGGGGAGACUGGAAUUCCUGGUGUAGCGGUGAAAUGCGCAGAUAUCAGGAGGAACACCGGUGGCGAAGGCGGGUCCCUGGGCAGUAACUGACGCUGAGGAGCGAAAGCGUGGGGAGCGAACAGG